rnacentral:rRNA from 1 species
CCUACGGGAGGCAGCAGUGAGGAAUAUUGGUCAAUGGCCGGAAGGCUGAACCAGCCAUGCCGCGUGAAGGUCAGUGCCCUCUGGGCGUUAAACUUCUUUUGUGCGGGAGCAAUAAUGGUCACGUGUGGCCAGACGAGAGUACCGUACGAAUAAGCAUCGGCUAACUCCGUGCCAGCAGCCGCGGUAAUACAGGGGAUGCAAGCGUUAUCCGGGGUUAUUGGGUUUAAAGGGGUCGUAGGCUGUGAGGUAAGUCAGCGGGGAAAUGCCCCGGCUCAACGGGGUGAAGUGCCAUUGAUACUGGCUUGCUGGAAUGCGGAUGCCGUGGGAGGAAUGUGUGGUGUAGCGGUGAAAUGCAUAGAUAUCACACAGAACACCGAUUGCGAAGGCAUCUCACGAAUCCGCGAUUGACGCUGAUGCACGAAAGCGUGGGUAUCAAACAGGAUUAGAUACCCGAGUAGUC